AGUGAACGCUGGCGGCAGGCCUAACACAUGCAAGUCGAACGGCAGCACAUUAAGAGCUUGCUCUUACGAUUUGGGUGGGGCGGAGGGGUGCGGAAUACAGCGGAAUCUGCGUUUUCGCUGGGGAAUAGGUAGGGAAACUUACGCUAAUACCGCGUAAGACCUACGGGUGAAAGCAGAUGAUCUGCGCAGCUUGCACAAUUCCAUGUGCCGAUGUCGGAUUAGCUAGUUGGCGGGGUAAAGGCCCACCAAGGCGACGAACCGUAGCUGGUCUGAGAGAGUGAUCAGCCACACUGGAACUGAGACACGGUCCAGACUCCUACGGGAGGCAGCAGUGGGGAAUAUUGCACAAUGGACGCAAGCCUGAUCCAGCAAUACCGCGUGGGUGAAGAAGGCCUUCGGGUUGUAAAGCCCUGUUGUUGGUAAAGAAGAACAGCAGGUUAAUAACGCGCUGUUCUGACGGUACCCAAAGAAUAAGCACCGGCUAACUUCGUG
rnacentral:rRNA from 1 species